AUUAAUAGUUAUGUUCUUUAAACUUAAAGAAUUUGACGGUAUCUUAUAUCUAUUCAGAGGAACCUGUCCUUUAAUUGAUAAUUCACGAUUAAUCUUACUUUAUUUAAUUAUUUGUAUAUCUCCGUAAUUAGAAAAUCUUUUUAGAGUUUAAAUUUUCAUUUAUUUUUAUUAAAAUUUAUUUCAGGUCAAGGUGCAGUUUAUGAUAAAGUUAGGGUGGGUUACAAUAAAUUUAUUUUUAUUACGUCUUUUUUGAUGAAUAUUAUUUUUAAAGGUGGAUUUGAUUGUAAUUUAAUUAAUUUAAAUUAAUUGAUUUUAGCUCUGGGGUGUGU
rnacentral:rRNA from 1 species